GUCCUAAAUGACUCUCGGCAACGGAUAUCUCGGCUCUUGCAUCGAUGAAGAACGUAGCGAAAUGCGAUACUUGGUGUGAAUUGCAGAAUCCCGUGAACCAUCGAGUCUUUGAACGCAAGUUGCGCCCGAAGCCAUCAGGCCGAGGGCACGCCUGCCUGGGUGUCACCAA
rnacentral:rRNA from 1 species